UACGUAGGUGGCAAGCGUUGUCCGGAAUUAUUGGGCGUAAAGCGCGCGCAGGCGGUCCUUUAAGUCUGAUGUGAAAGCCCACGGCUCAACCGUGGAGGGUCAUUGGAAACUGGAGGACUUGAGUACAGAAGAGGAAAGCGGAAUUCCACGUGUAGCGGUGAAAUGCGUAGAGAUCCGGAGGAACACCAGAGGCGAAGGCGGCCGGCUGGACCUGACCUGACACUGAGGCACGAAGGCGUGGGGAGCGAACGGG
rnacentral:rRNA from 1 species